rnacentral:rRNA from 1 species
AGCGAACGUUAGCGGCGGGCCUAACACAUGCAAGUCGAACGCGAAAGGUCUUCGGACUGAGUAGAGUGGCGCACGGGUGAGUAACACGUAGGUAAUCUACCCUUUGGCGGGGGAUAACGUUCCGAAAGGAGCGCUAAUACCGCAUAAGACCACGGAGUCUCCGGACGCUGUGGGAAAAGGUGGCCUCUUCUUGAAAGCUACCACCGAAGGAUGAGCCUGCGUCCCAUCAGCUAGUUGGUAAGGUAAUGGCUUACCAAGGCGAAGACGGGUAGCUGGUUUGAGAGAAUGAUCAGCCACACUGGCACUGGAACACGGGCCAGACUCCUACGGGAGGCAGCAGUGAGGAAUAUUGGGCAAUGGGCGAAAGCCUGACCCAGCCACGCCGCGUGAGUGAUGAAGGCCCUCGGGUCGUAAAGCUCUGUGGAGAGGGACGAAAACCCUGGUUUCAAAUAGGCUCCAGGCUUGACGGUACCUCUUUAGCAAGCACCGGCUAACUCUGUGCCAGCAGCCG